UGGGGAAUAUUGCACAAUGGGCGCAAGCCUGAUGCAGCCAUGCCGCGUGUAUGAAGAAGGCCUUCGGGUUGUAAAGUACUUUCAGCGGGGAGGAAGGGAGUAAAGUUAAUACCUUUACUCAUUGACGUUACCCGCAGAAGAAGCACCGGCUAACUCCGUGCCAGCAGCCGCGGUAAUACGGAGGGUGCAAGCGUUAAUCGGAAUUACUGGGCGUAAAGCGCACGCAGGCGGUUUGUUAAGUCAGAUGUGAAAUCCCCGGGCUAAACCUGGGAACUGCAUCUGAUACUGGCAAGCUUGAGUCUCGUAGAGGGGGGUAGAAUUCCAGGUGUAGCGGUGAAAUGCGUAGAGAUCUGGAGGAAUACCGGUGGCGAAGGCGGCCCCCUGGACGAAGACUGACGCUCAGGUGCGAAAGCGUGGGGAGCAAACAGG
rnacentral:rRNA from 1 species